AAAAAACCGGCGAGUAAGAGUAGUACUCCGGGGUUGCAUUUUCUUCAGAGAGCCGCAGGCGGUGAGAUUGCGGCGGGGAUGUUCCGGACGAAUGGACUUAUGAGGGCGGGACGAAAGGCUUUUUUGCCGAGUAGUGUCCGACGGGAUCUUCACCCGUUACCAAGGAAGCGUGCAUGGUGGUGCAUGGAAUGAGCGGGCGAUUUUCGCCAACGUGGGUGGUACCGCAGGAGUUUAGGCUCUUGUCCCUGUA
rnacentral:ncRNA from 1 species